UUAGACAACAGAAGAAAAAAAUCAAUGUUAUUUCUCACAAAGUCAAAUGAUCAUGCUUUUCCUCAGGCGGAAAGUAAUCUCUUCUGAGCAUAUGCUGAAUAAGUGUUACAAUAGCCUCCAGUCUCCCAUAGUCAUUCGAGGGCCUGUUCAUUUUUAUUUUGAGUUGAGAUUAAGGCAGACCAGAUGCUCCUGUGUGGUUUUUUGUUUGAACAUCAGACUAUUACUAGUCUAAUAGACUUCUGUGGUCAUCCAUUAGUCACAUUUCACUGAUUCUGUAUUACUCAGUUUUCUGUUUCACUCACUGUAGUUCAGCAGAGCAUUUUGUUCAAGAAACUCUCGCCAUUGUCCAAUCGCAUAAAUGUUCUAUUUGUUUUUUCUUACUUUCAACCUUCAAAGGACUUUGAGAAUAUGGAAUUAUUGCCUGUAAGCAGUUUUUUUUUCACCCUGUGUGCCUGUGCGUUUAGACUUCACACAAUGAAUGUGGACAUGGUACCUCACCAACAGUCAGUGUGGAUAUUGCAAAUUUCAACCUGUUCGUGGCCUCCGGAACAGUGACGGAACGUCACCCGUCUCCUCAGGAGCCACGAUAAUUGCUUUGGCCCCUCCAGAAUUCUACGCUGGCAUGUUUAUAACGGACAAUGAUGAUAAAACGCAAUGACGUCACAGGAAAUGUGCUGGCGAGUUUGUAUUUUCGAGACACCCAGGCAAAAUAAUAUCUACUUGUUCAAUGAGAGUGGCUUGUACUUUGCUCCGAGGCUUCAUGCAUGAUGUAUCAAGUAUAGGCUUGAUGUUGUUAAGUAAAUGCUAAUAGGGUUACCUG